rnacentral:rRNA from 1 species
GCUAGUUACCAUCAUUAAGUUGGGGACGUCUAGCGAGACUGCCAGUGAUAAACUGGAGGAAGUGGGGGAUGACGUCAAAUCAUCAUGCCCCUUAUGACCUGGGCUACAAACGUGAUACAAUGGCUGGAACAAAGGGAAUGCGAAGCAGUGAUGUGGAGCGAAACCCAUAAAAACAGUCUCAGUUCGGAUUGAAGUCUGCAACUCGACUUCAUGAAGUCGGAAUCGCUAGUAAUCGCGGAUCAGAACGCCGCGGUGAAUACGUUCUCGGGGUUU